CAGUCGCCGCGGGAAGACAGAGGAUGCAAGCGUUAUCCGGAAUGAUUGGGCGUAAAGCGUGCGCAGGCGGCUUUGCAAGACAGAUGUGAAAUCCCCGGGCUCAACCUGGGAACUGCAUUUGUGACUGCAAGGCUAGAGUGCGGCAGAGGGAGAUGGAAUUCCGCGUGUAGCAGUGAAAUGCGUAGAUAUGCGGAGGAACACCGAUGGCGAAGGCAAUCUCCUGGGCCUGCACUGACGCUCAUGCACGAAAGCGUGGGGAGCAAACAGGAUUAGAUACCCCAGUAGUCCCUGUCUCUUAUAC
rnacentral:rRNA from 1 species